rnacentral:rRNA from 1 species
ACGCUGGCGGCGUGCUUAACACAUGCAAGUCGAACGGUGAACCAGGGCUUGCCCUGGGGAUCAGUGGCGAACGGGUGAGUAACACGUGGGCAACCUGCCCCUGACUCUGGGAUAACUCCUCGAAAGAGGUGCUAAUACCGGAUACGACCACUUCGGGCAUCCGAUGGUGGUGGAAAGAAUUUUGGUCAGGGAUGGGCCCGCGGCCUAUCAGCUUGUUGGUGGGGUAACGGGCCCACCAAGGCGACGACGGGUAGCCGGCCUGAGAGGGCGACCGGCCACACUGGGACUGAGACACGGCCCAGACUCCUACGGGAGGCAGCAGUGGGGAAUAUUGCGCAAUGGGCGAAAGCCUGACGCAGCGACGCCGCGUGAGGGACGACGGCCUUCGGGUUGUAAACCUCUUUCAGCAGGGACGAAGCGAAAGUGACGGUACCUGCAGAAGAAGCACCGGCUAACUACGUG